rnacentral:misc_RNA from 1 species
GUGUGUGGCAUNUUGGAUCCUGCUCGGGCAGCGACAACAUCCCCGCAAGCCGCUUCAGUCGUCGGCCCAAGCGCGCUCCUGCCUUGGCCGCGGUCGGUUUCCUGUGCUGCAUACCCAUCGCGAAGGCAUUCCAUUGUCCCGAACGUCCCGUUUUCGCCCUGCGCUGCACCCCUCGGGGCCGCGGCGCGGGGUGGACCUCAAGGCGCCCGCUGUGUCCCACGUCCCGCGCACGGCCGCACGUGCCCGGGUCGUUGGCCCAUUGCGUCGUCGCCCGAUCUCUCGGAUGCGGAACACACGGUGGGUACGAGGGCCUCGGCCUCUGUUUGCCCCGAAAGCAAGCGUUCGGCGCUUCGUGCGAACGACGCCCGCCACCGUUUUGGGCUCGUCCCAUGCGGGCGGCGGGGUCGGUGAGGAA